GAUGAACGCUGGCGGCGUGCUUAACACAUGCCAGUCGAACGGAAAGGCUCCUGCUUGCAGGGGUACUCGAGUGGCGAACGGGUGAGUAACACGUGGGUGAUCUGCCCUGCACUUCGGGAUAAGCCUGGGAAACUGGGUCUAAUACCGGAUAGGACGAUGGUUUGGAUGCCAUUGUGGAAAGUUUUUCGGUGUGGGAUGAGCUCGCGGCCUAUCAGCUUGUUGGUGGGGUAAUGGCCUACCAAGGCGUCGACGGGUAGCCGGCCUGAGAGGGUGUACGGCCCAAUGGGAACUAGGUACCGCCCAGGACCCUACGGGAGGCAGCAGUGGGGAAUAUUGCACAAUGGGCGCAAGCCUGAUGCAGCGACGCCGCGUGGGGGAUGACGGCCUUCGGGUUGUAAACUCCUUUCGCUAGGGACGAAGCGCAAGUGACGGUACCUGGAGAAGAAGCACCGGCUAACUACGUG
rnacentral:rRNA from 1 species